CUUUGGCUUUGAGAGGACACCAAGAAGUCUUUGUUAAGAAGGUAGUAAGCAUUUAGCCUACGCACCUUCUUGGUAAACGAACGAUAUAAUUGUCAAAUGUUUUAUGUGUUGACAUCUGUCUGAAAGAAUUGUUUCGAUUCCGUAUUUGUUUCAUAUUAUAAUUAUAUUAUACUCGUGUUUACUUCCACAUCAGUUCAUUAUUCGUUAAUAGACUUAAGUCAGGAAGGAUACCACGGAAAUUUUCUGUCCUUUGUAGAGCUUCUCGCGCGAUAUGAUCACAUUUUGCGGCAAGUUUUUGAUAUGCCCAAAGGAUCUACAAGAUAUCUGAGUGCAACAAUUCAAAAUGAAAUGUUUGAGAGCUUGGGGACCAUACUCGAAACCCAUCUACUAGAACAAAUUAGAGUGUCACCGUUUUUUGCACCAUAAUGGAUGAUGACAGGACAUAUCGAAAGUAGAUCAGAUAAGCAUUGUUUUGAGGUAUGCAGAAAUAUCCAGAUCGGAAAAUGGACAGCCAAUUGAUACCUAUAGCAGUAAAAGAGGUUGUAGUGUUUCUAGGCUUUUAUGCAGCCAUCAAACAUGGCGCAGUAGAUUUAGUCAACCAAGUGACAACAUUAGUUAUCAACAAAAAUAUUGAUUUAAAAAUGUGUGGGGCAAGGCUAUGAUGGAGCCUGUGUGAUGAGUGGUGUGUAUAAUGGUGUACAAAAAUAUAUUAAGGAUAUCCAGCCUAACGCAGAGUACGUACAUUGUGCCACUCAUAAUUUAAGGUGAUAAAGGGUGCCGUUGGCAGUUGUGUGAAAAUAGAGAUUUUUUUGCAACAUUUCAAGAUUUGUAUAACUUUUUCGGUAACAGCGUCAAACGUUGGGAUCUACUGUCAUAAUUCACUGGCGAAUCGGACACCACUCUAAAAGAACUAAAUUCGACUAGAUGAUCCAGUAGGGUCAAUACGAUAUCUGCAAUAAAACUUCGUUCUUUUGAUAUUAUUAAAACAUUAUCAGAAAGAGUUCUAAAGAGUCCUAAUAAAGAUGAGCGUAGUGAAGCAGAGAGUAUUAAAACAAAAAUGCAAAAUUUUGAGUUCGUGUUGCUUUGCGAAUUCAUGCACAGUGUAUUGAACGACAUCCAUUACGCAUCCAAAACUUUACAAAAAUGCGACAUCAAUUUGGGCGAGGCGAGUAAAGUUUUAGCAGAGACCAAAGCAAAGUUGCAAAUUUAUAGAAAUUAUUUCGAAUUAUUCAAAUGCAAAGCCAGUGAAACUGCAAGAAAGUAUGAUAUUGAUACCCAUUUUCAAGGAAAAAGGCAAAGAAAAGUUAAAAAACAUUUUGAUGAAUUAGCUGCUGAUCACCGAUUUCCAAACCGAGAAAAAAUAUUUAAAAUUGAGAUUUUCAAUAAUGUACUAGACACAGUACUAUCUCAAUUAGAUACACGUUUUAUUGGUAUGAGUGCAUUCUGUCAUAUAUUCGAUUUUCUAACACCAACAUUUUUAUUACAUGUUGAUGAAGCAACUUUAUUACAAAAGUGUGACGAAUUCCAAAGAAAAUAUUCAGAUAUACUUAAUAGGCCAUAGUUUUUCACUUCAAUUUAUUAAUAUUUACCACCUAGUUUUACCUCAACUAACUCAAGCAUGGACUGUUUACCAAUUAUGUAAGGAAAUAAUGAGCAAAUAUGGAGUGCCGACCUAUAGGAAGUAUUUAAAGCAAUGUUAUUAUUCUUUACAAUUCCUGUCACUUCUGCAGCAGCUGAAAAGUCAUUUAGCAAACUAAAAAUAAUAAAAAAAUAUGAAAUAAUAUGGGCCAAACUCGAUUCCGACAUUGAUCGCUAAUAGCAAUUGUAAACAAAAUCGCAUAAAGCCUGGAUUUAAACGAAGUCAUUGAUAAUUUUGCGAAAAGUAAAGUUAGGAAAAAAUUGUUAUAAACCCUUGAAUCUUC